CACAGAAACCAAGCUUGGGCUACCUGUGGCUUCUCUUGUUAGAUCAACCAACAUGGUUGCACCCCAAAGGUAAAUAGUAUUAUUUGCAUCCUGAUGGAGGAUUUUUAGACGGAUUUCCGUUAUAACAAAUAGCUGGGCAAUGGAUGGCAGAUCAAGAGGUCACGAUUCUCGCAUAAUAAAUCAGGCUUAAUGCAUAGUAUUGAACAUUUCCAAACUCAAGUUUAAAGUGCAAAUGAGCCCUUUGACAAUGCAUUUAGUACUGGUUCUGCAUAAAGUAAAUAGUGGUUGGUCUCCGGUGUAAUAGCCACAGCUGACGUCACGAUCGACAUUGAAUGGAAUCAAAUUUAAUUCCUGAUAAAUAGUAAUAAUAUAACAUUUGUAUAGCGCAGAUUAGCGUUUUUUUACUAUGUGAUGUUAUAUAUAUGCGAUCUUUAACGUGAUCGUGUGGUCCUUCUGUCCUGGUUCCCCUGGUUCUUCUGGUUUUUCUGAUAAAUAGUAAUAAUAUAGCGUUUGUAUAGCGCAGAUUAGCGUUUUUUUAUUAUGUGAUGUAACAUAUAGGCAAUUUGUACUGCGCAUGCGCGCGUUAAUAGAAGACAAAAGAAUUUUAGCCGCCAUUUUGUUUGGAAUGCACAGUCUGUUUGUUUUCUGAUCGACGUUAUCAGAAUUUAGAGGCAUUCGAUGGAAGGGCUUCAAAGAGGAUCAAAACUAGAGACGAAGGACUAGCACAUGAGCAUAUCAACAAGUACAUCGUCCUUUUAUUUGGAGAGAAAUCACUCGUCAAAAUGUGCUCGAAAGAGAAAAACCUCAAGACAUGGUUAUCUUUGUUCCAGUUGAAUUUCAAAUAUAACCAGUAAGUUGAGGAAAUCUUUCUUUAAGGUGUGCAAUUUUUUUGUACUGAAAAAUUGUGUGGCAUAUGGUGUUAAAGGAAAUGUUAAGACCAUUCCAGCUACCUCAGCAUAUCCUCAAAUCUUGGGUAAUUUUCCUUGUUAGGUUUACCAAGAUCUUCAAGUUGUUGGUUGUUGAAAUAUCUAUAUAAGGUAGAGAUGUAUGGUGAAAAGCUAGUCUGCUGGUCCUCAGAAGAAGGAAGAUGGAUAGGAAUGAAUUACUUUUCAAACUACAA